ACUGUGUGAGACCAGACAGAGCCCCAGACAGCUGUGAAGUGAGAGGGAAGCCACUGGACAGCUGAGGGAGGGCUGGGCGCAGCGGCCAGCGGAGCGUGGCCUUGUAGUGCUGUACACCACUCGAGGGCCGCAGCCAGCCAGUCCUGGCGUGGCCAGCACUACUUCAGCUCCCAGAGCUGCCCCUUCCUAUGUGCAGUGAGGAGACGGGGAGGUUCUGACUCCAUGGGGCUGUUGGGAAGACAGCGUCCAUCCGGCAGUGUGGCCUGGGAGAGCAAACUCUGAAUGAGAGAAGGGCCUUUUGGCCUGAACCACCGGUGGGCCCAGGUGUUACAAAUCCCCCCCAAGUCAGCUGUCAUUGAUUGUGUAUCGAGCUUUUCACCUCACCCCCCACCCCACCUCUGCCAAAUCCCCUCACCAGGCAUGGGCAGCUGGCUCUGCCACCGCCGUAUCUAUGUUGAAGAGGAAGUGUGGGGUUGCGAGACUCUACUUAAAAAGUGCCCUAGGUUUUAAGGAAGGAGACACAGUGAGAAGAAGGAAGGCAGCCUCCAUCUCUGAGGGAUGGACAGCUGUUCCCUGGCGCUGAGCGGUUCUGGCUCGCUCUUGCUCUUCUGACUGGAUGCCGGCCAGGGUUUGGAGAACUAUAACUGAAGAGUACUGGCUUUAGGCUUAGGAAGGGAGUGAGCGGGCUCUUCCAAACCUUCUCCUACGGCUUGUGUUCUGAGGAGCUGGAGGGCCAGGAGAGUCUCUCCAGGAAAAGGCAAAUGCAGCGUGGCCAGCAAGACCCACCGUCACAGGUGAAAGUCCUGACCUGUGGAGGAGUGGGCAGCUGCUCAGGCUGCUGGGAACAGGACUUUCUGCCAUGAGGAGGCCAGCCAACAAAAAAAUCGGAGCCUUUCCUGUAAGACCAACUAUCCCCUUCCACUGGGAGUGCAGAUUAGGCCAUGGCUUCCAUCAAUGGCUACACACACCACUUGGCUGAUUACCAGCUUGCCUCCAAGGCGGCUCUACAUCUGUCCUGCUUUUAUUUCUGAGUGCCAAAGACCAGGUGAAGGGGCAGGCUUCCUCUGGUCCAGACAAGAGCUGGCUGUCCAGGCACUGGCAGCCUUUUAAACAUCAUUCCGGCCUUGUACAAUUCCUUCAGCAAGCACGGAGGUCACACAUGUAUUCAGCUUUGGCCUCUCAAUGAGGUUAAUAAUCCCUUCCUGAUGUCUCGUGUUCGCACAUGUCCCUCGGGCGGUUCCAUCCUCCCAAGUGUUCUCAGUACCACCACCAGUGGGAUUCCCCACCAAGGGUCUGCAAGUACCACAAGCAGCAUGGGAGGAAGAGCACUUUUCUGCACCCAAGAGGUCCGGGGCAAACAUUGGCAAUGCCCACAUCAUUUACUCCGUGCCCCUGAAACCUUCCCAAUCCUUCUGAAGAACUGAACGGUGAUAAAGGGCAAUGAGCAAGACUCUGUCUGCACUCUUCCCUUCAGUGCCAGCUCAAGAACAGACCAGACAAGAAGACCUCAAAGGCAGCAGCAGCCGCCAGCCUUGCUGUGUAGCUUGUGGGCCAGACAAGGUGCUUCAUUCCAUCUGGUCACAACAGGCUUAAGGGGCUCUGGCAAGAGCAGGGGCUGUCUGAGGUCUUUCAAACCCUGGAAGGCAUCUUCAGCUCCCUCAGUUACCACAGCCUAUCUGAAAGGAGCACAGAUAAUUACUUUCUUCCAAAUUUUAAUGGUUCUUUGGCUCAAUUCUUUCUUGUACUACUUUGUGAUCUAUACACUACAACACUCAAAAUAACCAGCUUCCGCUAACUCAAGAACUGAAGGAACUAUGCUUUCUAUCCCCACUGGAAACAUACCACAAGUGGGAGAGGAAAAAAGAAACUAGGCUUUUCUAAGGGUUGAAGUCUAUGGAACAACAAAAAUAAUCAUCUCCAAUGUAAAUUUUACUAUUUUAUUUGUGAAAAAACUACAAGCAGAAUUCAUAAAUAGACAUUUCUAUUUAAAGCAGGAAAAUGAUAAAGUGGCUUCUAAUAACAUAGUCGUGCACAUGCCAAUAACAGGAAUAUAUUAACAUCUUUUAUUUGCUAGACAAAGAGCAGUGUCCAAUAUAAAUUUCCCCCAAACAUUUAAGACCUGUGAAUUUCUGACCAGUUCACAAAACCACCGACACUUUAGCAUGAAGAGAAAACAAACCUAACAGACUGUCAGCUCUAAGACGGACGGAGCAGAAACUUCCAAAGCAUUAUACAAGCCAUCUUUCUGGGCAAAUGGAAAAUAGAGCUCGUAUAAGACAUUAACAAAAGUUCACAAGGGAAGAUUAUGUUCUGACAUACUUAACAAGCAUUCGCUAUCUGUCUCCAACAAACAAAGCUAAGGAAAUAAUGUAACCAUCUUUACACAGUAAAUUAAGGUUACAAGUCAUACACAAGAACAGAACUGCUUGCGCGUUAGAAACUGUUCAGCUCCAUUGUCACACUCUAAAUGUUGGCUCUUAAACCAUUUUCGGUAACAUACAAGCAAAGGUUAUUAUAUAUUCAGCAAUUAAUAAAUUCUCAAUAAUUUAAGAUACGGUAGCUUACAAAUGUAGACUGAGAAUGGUCUUGAUAAGGCAGGCGAGACAUCUUAGUGGAGCUAAUCUCACAGAAACUUCUGCCAAUGUUUUGAAGCAUCAGAUCCAAACUGAAAGGUUCUGAUUAAAAUAUUUUUGUGGGUUAUCAAGAUGUCUUUUUAUCUUCUCCCAACUGCACGACUCGGGCAGAGCAAGUCAGGUCAGCUCUGUGUGUGUGCACACGAGUGUGAAAGAUCAUGUACUAAACACGGGAAGCUUGCAAGCCUUAACACUGUGCUUUUUGUUUUAAUAUGCUUUCUGUGCCACUGAAUACCAAGUAUUUCUGAUCCUCUUAAUGUCUCUUUGUAAGCUACACUAGUGUUUUUACCUACUGAGUACUAUAGUAGGGCAAACUGUAAAUGCAGGAAGCUAACAGGAAUUCCAUUUCCAGAUGCAUGCCUGAGGAUGUCAUUGCUUAGCAAGCACCCACCACACCUCUCCACCCCAACAGAGCCUGUGACAGCAGCAACAGGGCAGCCAGGAACAUCUGAUUGCUUAGACUCCGCCGCUGUCAGCUGCAGUUUCUACCUCAAGGCAAGUUCACUCCACUUGUUCUGAAGCCUUCCCUCCCUUCACUUCUCCUCAUUAAUUUAUCACGGAGGCAAAACUGAAAAACCAAGACACCGGCGAUGAAUGAAUUAGUAGCCUAUGAGGAGCUGGUAAAUCAGCCUUUCCCACUAAUCUAGGGGGUCCAAUCACUUUACAUGAAACUCGUUUUGAAAAAGUACACAGUGUUUCUGAACAAAGUGCAUACCAACACUUAUUGGUUCAAAGAGCAGUGCAAUCCACAUGAAUUUGGUGGCAUUUAAAUUUUUUUUAAAAAGUUAAUUAAAAAACUUAGCAAUUCCUUACACCUCUGGAAAAUAAAUAUGGCUGACUAAUUAACCCUCCCUGAGACCCUUAAUAAAAGGAAUAUUAAAACUUUAGAAGGAAUGUCUUUGCAAUACCCCACUAAUAUUAAAAUGUGGAUUUAAAAUUCAUAGUCAAAUCACUAUGUAUUAUAUAUUCUGAUGCUUACAGAAAGCACCUCAUUUCCUUUGGUUCAUUAAUAAAUACUUUAAAAAGGUAUUUAAAAAGGUAAGUACAACUUGUAUCCCAGACACAAGCACUGUUUUAAAAAGAGGGGAGCAUUGUCCAUGCUUCUGCGAACAGGAGCCCAGCGACAAAUAGCACUGCCUUUGCGGACAGAACGUAGACUACGGCGCAUCAAAUGACUGGUUUUAAUGUAAAUGUGAAUGGAACCAUUCCUGUUGGCUACUCAAUUCAAGCUGUUAGUAUGUUCUUAACUUGUUGCCUCCACAUAUAGAAAUUAGUUCUAUUAUUAAGCAAACCCGGUUAACACCAAGAUGUGGUGUUUCCUUACACUCUCCCCAACGAGUCUGUAAGAUGUGAUCAAAUAAAGGAAGGUUAACACCA